GACGGGAGGGGCUAGCAUUAGUUAUCGUGACUGGGCGUUAAGGGUGCGUAGAUGGCAUUCUAGGGGAACUAGGUGAAAUACUGGAGCAAGAUCCUUUAGAAGAGCCUUUAUAGCCAGUAUGCUAGGAGAAAGUAAGGGGUUAAGAGAACACCUAGUGUAGAGGUGCAAUUCCGGAAAACUAGGGAGAAAACCAUAGGCGGAGGCGCUUAACUGGGACUUUCUGACAUUGAGGCACGAAAGCAUGGGUAUCAAACUGG
rnacentral:misc_RNA from 1 species